rnacentral:rRNA from 1 species
UACGUAGGUGGCGAGCGUUGUUCGGAUUUACUGGGCGUAAAGGGAGCGUAGGCGGACUUUUAAGUGAGAUGUGAAAUACUCGGGCUCAACUUGAGUGCUGCAUUUCAAACUGGAAGUCUAGAGUGCAGGAGAGGAGAAUGGAAUUCCUAGUGUAGCGGUGAAAUGCGUAGAGAUUAGGAAGAACACCAGUGGCGAAGGCGAUUCUCUGGACUGUAACUGACGCUGAGGCUCGAAAGCGUGGGGAGCAAACAGG